GACGAACGCUGGCGGCGUGCUUAACACAUGCAAGUCGAACGGAAAGGCCCUGCUUUUGUGGGGUGCUCGCGUGGCGAACGGGUGAGUAACACGUGAGUAACCUGCCCUUGACUUUGGGAUAACUUCAGGAAACUGGGGCUAAUACCGGCUAGGAGCUCCUGCUGCAUGGUGGGGGUUGGAAAGUUUAGGCGGUUGGGGAUCGACUCGCGGCUUAUCAGCUUGUUGGUGGGGUAGCUGCCUACCAAGGCUUUGACGGGUAGCCGGCCUGAGAGGGGGACCGGCCACAAUGGGACUGAGAGACGGCCCAGACUGCUACGGGAGGCAGCAGUGGGGAAUAUUGCACAAUGGGCGGAAGCCUGAUGCAGCAAUGCCGCGUGCGGGAUGACGGCCUUCGGGUUGGAAACCGCUUUCGCCUGUGACGAAGCGUGAGUGACGGUAAUGGGUAAAGAAGCACCGGCUAACUACGUG
rnacentral:rRNA from 1 species